rnacentral:rRNA from 1 species
UACGUAGGGUGCGAGCGUUAGGCGGAAUUACUGGGCGUAAAGCGUGCGCAGGCGGUUCGUUAAGUCAGAUGUGAAAGCCCCGGGCUCAACCUGGGAACUGCAUUUGAAACUGGCGGGCUUGAGUGUGGCAGAGGGGGGUGGAAUUCCGCGUGUAGCAGUGAAAUGCGUAGAGAUGCGGAGGAACACCGAUGGCGAAGGCAGCCCCCUGGGCCAACACUGACGCUCAGGCACGAAAGCGUGGGGAGCAAACAGG